rnacentral:lncRNA from 1 species
UUGUUGUUGUUGCUAUUUCUUGGGCCGCUCCUGCGGCAUAUGGAGGUUCCCAGGCUAGGCGUUGAAUCGGAGCUGUAGCCACUGGCCUACGCCAGAGCCACAGCAGCACAAGAACCGAGCCGCGUCUGCAACCUAUACCACAGCUCACGGCAACGCCGAUCGUUAACCCACUGAGCAAGGGCAGGGACCGAACCUGCAACCUCAUGGUUCCUAGUCGGAUUCGUUAACCACUGCGCCACGACGGGAACUCCAAAAAAAUGUAAUUGUAAUGUAUACAUGUAAGGAUAACCUGACCCCCUUGCUGUACAGUGGGAAAAUAAAAUUAUUAAAAAAAAAAAACAUUUUCCCAGGUGAUACAGGUAGUGAAGCUCAGCUGGAACGCUUCUAUACUGAUAAUUUACGUGGGGUUUUAUAACUUCUGAAUUGAGUUAAUUAAUUAUUCAAUUUGACAGUAUGCUUUGGCUUUCAGUUCUCACCUGAAAAAUGUUUUGUUAGUUUAAAAAAAGGAGAAAGAAAACCGUCAGGGUGUCACAACACUCAUCUUUACCAAACUCAAUGCCAUGAAAUAAUUUAUUAGACUGUAGUUGAUUUUGUAACUUCAAAAUGGAAAUUAAAUGAGUUGGCGUUGCUUAUCAAAAGUAAGAAAUACACUCUAAGGUUUUAAAGUCAUAUGACUUUAUAUUUUGUAUCUCUAACAAAGGCUCAAAAAUCAUUUUUUAGAAGGUACCUAAUGAGGGAGCAAGGUGAGCGCAUAAUACAUUUUAACACAGCUAAUCAUCUUUAUGUUAUACAGUUGGCUGGGGAACAGACCAGGGAAUUGGUGGAUUCGGAGAAGAGCCAGGAAUUAAAUCUCAACUAAUGAACCUGAUUCGAUCUGUAAGAACCGUGAUGAGAGUGCCAUUGAUAAUAGUAAACUCAAUUGCAAUUGUAUUACUUUUACUAUUUGGGUGAAGAUCCACAGAGGAAAUGGAGACUCAUCAGAGGAAGAGCUGCCAGCAGAAGUUACUACUUCAGUCUUUGUUGGAAUAUACAUAUCUUAGCUGGCUCUCCUUGGACUUGACAAAGUGUAAACCUGAGAGUAAAACCAGAGUCCCUAUUUAUCUGAUUUUUUAAAAUAUUGCACUUAUGGUUUCAUUACAAAAAGGUCAGAUCAUCAGAGGCAGUAACUAUGCAGGAUUGGAAUACAUUUGAUUGCUAACUUUUAAUAAAAGUUCAUGCUAUGGUAAAGAUUGUUUAAUGGGUACAGGACUGUCACUUAUGUGUUAUUGGAGAUUUUUCUCUUUCACUUCUCAGGGAUGAAUUUUUUUUUUCAAAGUUUUGAAGUUCCUUGUGACUUAGUUAUGAUGUGAGAAUGAUUAUCCUUCUAGACAAAAUUUAAACAUUUUUUUAAAAAGUUAUUACUACAUAUAAAGUGAUUUUAUUUUGAGCUCUUUGGUUAAAUAUUUUGUCUGUAUAUUGUCUCAUAUGAAAAAAUCAAAUUUUUGCUAACUAUUGAGGAGUAAUACUCUCUGAUUUCAGGGAGAAUUCUAAUUUUGUAAGUCAGAUAGUCACACGGAUGAUUGUGUUUUUAAGUUUGUUCAUGCAUUUGUUAUUUUAUUAAUUGGCCUGAAUGAUGAGACCAGAAUAGUAUCUACAUAUGUCCAUUGGUAAAGAUAUCUGUGUAGAAAAGUCUAUGCCCUUUUAAACAAUGAUGGGUUAUUUUUUACAAUCAGCAUAAAAGCCUACAGGAGCAGUCCUAAAUAAUCACCCUUAAGCUGUACUGUAUAAGAAGACUUUAUCGUGAAACAUUUACCUCCCCAAAUCAUCACAUUUCUGUUUCUUGAAGUAGCACAUUAAGGGACGUGAUUUGUAAUUCUUCAUUCUGUCAGUCAAUAGAGCAUUCGUGGCGGAUAAAUUGGUUAUUAUUUUGUUUUUAUGUCUUUGACCAUCCCGUAUUUUCUUAUCCCAUAAUUCUGCUUUGUGCAGAAAGAUUAAAACUAUAUAAAUGGUUUUUUCUGGAAAUUAUCAGUUAUAAUAUUUUAAAGGGGGGUGGAAUGGCAUCUUUGUUUAUAGGAGAACACUUGUAAAUAAAGUUAGAUUUCCAAG